rnacentral:rRNA from 1 species
CCACCCUUUAAUGUUUGAUGUUCUAACGUUGACCCGUAAUCCGGGUUGCGGACAGUGUCUGGUGGGUAGUUUGACUGGGGCGGUCUCCUCCUAAAGAGUAACGGAGGAGCACGAAGGUUGGCUAAUCCUGGUCGGACAUCAGGAGGUUAGUGCAAUGGCAUAAGCCAGCUUGACUGCGAGCGUGACGGCGCGAGCAGGUGCGAAAGCAGGUCAUAGUGAUCCGGUGGUUCUGAAUGGAAGGGCCAUCGCUCAACGGAUAAAAGGUACUCCGGGGAUAACAGGCUGAUACCGCCCAAGAGUUCAUAUCGACGGCGGUGUUUGGCACCUCGAUGUCGGCUCAUCACAUCCUGGGGCUGAAGUAGGUCCCAAGGGUAUGGCUGUUCGCCAUUUAAAGUGGUACGCGAGCUGGGUUUAGAACGUCGUGAGACAGUUCGGUCCCUA